UACGUAGGGGGCAAGCGUUAAUCGGAAUUACUGGGCGUAAAGCGUGCGCAGGCGGUUAUGUAAGACAGAUGUGAAAUCCCCGGGCUUAACCUGGGAACUGCAUUUGUGACUGCAUAGCUAGAGUACGGUAGAGGGGGAUGGAAUUCCGCGUGUAGCAGUGAAAUGCGUAGAUAUGCGGAGGAACACCGAUGGCGAAGGCAAUCCCCUGGACCUGUACUGACGCUCAUGCACGAAAGCGUGGGGAGCAAACAGG
rnacentral:rRNA from 1 species